rnacentral:ncRNA from 12 species
AAGAAUAGAAGUAGAAAAACAUCGGGAACUACGCACCCUUUGGGUAUCUGAAAAGCGGGGAAUUCCCGUCCCGCCUAUUCCA